rnacentral:rRNA from 1 species
CCUACGGGAGGCAGCAGUGGGGAAUAUUGGACAAUGGGGGGAACUCUGAUCCAGCCAUGCCGCGUGUGUGAAGAAGGCCUUAUGGUUGUAAAGCACUUUAAGCGAGGAGGAGGCUCUUUUGGUUAAUACCCAAGAUGAGUGGACGUUACUCGCAGAAUAAGCACCGGCUAACUCUGUGCCAGCAGCCGCGGUAAU